UCAACAAUAUAUUAAAAAAAAUUCAGUUUUAAAAUAUUAAAAUUAUGAAACUUAUGUUAUUGUAUAAUAUUAUGAGUUGUUAUUCUGGGAAUUCUAGUCAAAGGAGCCGCGUCGCGUGCCGCAUUGUACGCUUCAUUGACUCUGACGAACCUUAGCAUAAGCGUAGGAAUAAGGCAUAUAGGUGUAGGAAUAGUACAGAGACAAUGUGAGCAUACCUUUAACAUGGACAAUGUGGGAGAAUUUGCUGUACGCUCUUACUAGCAGUGCGACUAUUUGCCUGCAAUGUAGGGUGUCCUCAGCGCAUUCACAAAAAAAGGCUACGCAAAGAGUGGUGUAGCGAUUCAUGCGCAGGGAGCCGCGAACAGCGGCGUAGCGCAUCUACCGGGUGGACAUUAUAAUUCUUAACUAAUUCAGAUUAACGCAAUUCAGAGUCGAAACACAGUUUCGCCCAUCAGCCGAGUUCGCCUCUCAUUGAUCAGUGUUUUCCGUUAAUAAAUCGUAAACAAAGCAGCGGAUUGCAUUUGCGCUAAGGAAAAAGUUACUUUAAAUCAGGGGUCCUAACCGGCGCUUAACCCUAACCGUAACCCGGUUAACCAAGGCAGAUUAUAGUAACCCCCACAGUAAACCGCGGUAGAACGUCUCCCAAAUUGUCUAAAGAGCGGGUUAACUCGUAAAGAGCGGGUAACAUAAUGCAUUCUGUAACCUGGUUACUACAAGAAGGUUACAAGAACCGGUUAUUAGAUAAGUAAAUAUAGUAGCAUAUAACCGGUCUCCGCUCUGCGUAACCCGUAAGAGCGGCAGUUCUUGAAAUCGGUUGCAAUAUGGAACUAAACUAUACGAAAAGAAUUGUUGAAUCUACUAAUUUUUUUACUUUAACACGUUCAUCGCCCGGCGCAAUUCGGCUGAGUUUCUCGCGGGGCCCAAAUCCGACUGUUGGAGCGCCGAAACGUAAGCGGGAAUAGCGCAACGAUGAAACCCGAGUAGGCCCGUGCGUCACCCAUAUUUGGAUUGCAACUGUUUUAACGGGAGAUUUUCUUUCCUUUUGUUACUGUCGGCGGUCUUGUCUUGUUCAGUUGCAGAAGAAGUACGCUUUAUGUUCUUCAGUAGUCAGAUUAUGUUCUUCACUGAUACGUUUAAUAAUUUCAUUUUACAUAUCUGUUUUUGUUUCGUAAUAUAAUAUUAUCUAUAAUGAAACAUUCUGUUCGUCGAUGCGUUUAUGAGAUUAACGAAAGAAGGUGUAUCGCUAUUUGAAUUUGUACAAAAUAAUAGACUAUAUAAUAGUUUGUAAGCCGCUCUUACGGGUUACACAGAGCCGGCUUUUGUAACCUUCCUGUAGUAACCGGGUUAAGAAUUGGGUUUGGCGGCGGUUAGGAUCCCUGGCAUUAAUCCGCCAUAAGAGCGGGUUACUCGGGUUACUCUAUGAAACUGAGAGCAGAAUCGGCUGCUUUAAAUAGUCUCAGAAACUCCUCAUUUCUCGGAAAUAACAUAAUUAUGGGACACCCUGUACACAGCAAACAGUAAUGUUUAACAAUACUGUGAGUAGAGAAAAGUGAAUUUUGAUUGCAAAGCCGUCGUGUAAAUAUAAAAUCAAACCAAGAAAUAUGAUAGUAUGACAAUGCAAUUUGUGCAACAAAUCUUUAUAAUUUUAAUUACCUACGAAAUCUAUUAAACAUCUGAAUUUCUUCAACUUUUAAUUGGUAAUAAAUAAAUGACAAAAACAACAA